GUCGGCAAUCUCCGGGAAUCCGCCCAUGUAAAAGCCGACCGCGGUCGAUACGAUCCUCUGAGCGAAACCAAGCACAUCGAAUCUGCUCCCCCAUGGUAGUAGCGGGCAGCACCAUACCAGACAGCAGUGCGGCACCAGCAGGCGGCGGCGGCGGGCGGCGGCAAGCGGCAAAGGCCAUUCAAGCACCAGUGCACGGCACCGAGCCGACAGCCUAGGCGUGCUAUUAGCAGUCGAGCCAAGCAGAGCACAGCAGAGGCUCAAAUGGAAAACCAUAUAAUGCACAGAAGCAAAAGACUGAAGCGCUGCCAUAACAAGCCCAUUCUGAGAAAGGAAUGCAAAAAUCAAGUUGUCAGACCUUUCCAAGGAUGUCUUGGGCACGAUUUUAUCAAAAUUUCCAGCAA